rnacentral:rRNA from 1 species
GUGUCAGCAGCCGCGGUAAUACGGAGGGUGCAAGCGUUAUCCGGAUUCACUGGGUUUAAAGGGUGCGUAGGUGGGUUGAUAAGUCAGUGGUGAAAUCUCCGGGCUUAACUCGGAAACUGCCGUUGAUACUAUCAGUCUUGAAUAUUGUGGAGGUAAGCGGAAUAUGUCAUGUAGCGGUGAAAUGCUUAGAUAUGACAUAGAACACCGAUAGCGAAGGCAGCUUGCUACACAAUUAUUGACACUGAGGCACGAAAGCGUGGGGAUCAAACAGGAUUAGAUACCCUGGUAGUCCCACGCCCUAAACGAUGGAUACUCGACAUACGCGAUACACAGUGUGUGUCUGAGCGAAAGCAUUAAGUA